rnacentral:sRNA from 2 species
AUAUCUCUCUGUACGGGAAGGAUGAGAAGCUUCGACCAAGGUUCGAUUCGAGCGCAGCGAGAAAGCGUUG